GACGAACGCUGGCGGCGCGCCUAACACAUGCAAGUCGAACGGAGUUGCCUGAUCUGAUUCUUUCGGGAUGACGAACUUGCAACUUAGUGGCGAACGGGUGAGUAACGCGUGAGGAACCUGCCCCGGAGUGGGGGACAACAGUUGGAAACGACUGCUAAUACCGCAUAAGCCCACGGUACCGCAUGGUACAGAGGGAAAAGGAGCAAUUCGCUUUGGGAUGGCCUCGCGUCUGAUUAGAUAGUUGGUGAGGUAACGGCCCACCAAGUCGACGAUCAGUAGCCGGACUGAGAGGUUGAUCGGCCACAUUGGGACUGAGAUACGGCCCAG
rnacentral:rRNA from 1 species